rnacentral:misc_RNA from 1 species
GGAAGUAAAAGCGUAACAAGGUUUCCGUAGGUGAACCUGCGGAAGGAUCAUUAUUGUAUAACCGAGGUGCGAGGGCUGUCGCUGACCCGAAAGGUCGUGCACGCCCGAGUGCCCUCACACGUCCAUCUCACCCCUAUGUGCACCACCGCGUGGGUCCCCCUUUGGCUUGUUCGGAGGGGGGCUUACGUUUUCACACAAACUUUGUAUGCAGUGUAGAAUGUAUUUUUUGUUUUUGCGAUCACGCAAUCAAUACAACUUUCAACAACGGAUCUCUUGGCUCUC